GGGAGCGUCCGGGCCCGGCCGAACGCGGAUGUCCCUACCGCGAUGGGCACGGCGAGGGGAACGAGGGUCUGGCGAAGCGUCUGCUCCGGCCUGGACCACUGGGAUGCGGGGUUGCCGAGGAGCUCAAGUAGAAGAAAUAUGGAGUUUGGAGCCUGAGAAUUUUGAAAAAUUAAAGCCAGUUCAUGGGUUAAUUUUUCUUUUCAAGUGGCAGCCGGGAGAAGAACCAGCGGGCUCUGUGGUUCAGGACUCCAGACUUGACACGAUAUUUUUCGCCAAGCAGGUAAUUAACAAUGCUUGUGCUACUCAAGCCAUAGUAAGUGUGUUACUGAACUGUACCCAUCAAGAUGUCCAUUUAGGAGAGACAUUAUCAGAAUUUAAGGAAUUUUCACAAAGUUUUGAUGCAGCUAUGAAAGGUUUGGCACUGAGCAAUUCAGAUGUGAUUCGACAAGUACACAACAGUUUCGCCAGACAACAAAUGUUUGAAUUUGAUGCGAAGACAUCAGCAAAAGAAGAAGAUGCUUUUCACUUUGUCAGUUAUGUUCCUGUUAAUGGAAGGCUGUAUGAAUUAGAUGGAUUAAGAGAAGGACCGAUUGAUUUAGGUGCAUGCAAUCAAGAUGACUGGAUCAGCGCAGUGAGGCCAGUCAUAGAAAAAAGGAUACAAAAGUACAGUGAAGGUGAAAUUCGGUUUAACUUAAUGGCCAUUGUGUCUGACAGAAAAAUGAUAUAUGAACAGAAGAUAGCAGAGUUGCAAAGACAGCUUGCUGAGGAGGAACCCAUGGAUACAGAUCAGGGUAAUAAUAUGUUAAGUGCUAUUCAGUCGGAAGUUGCCAAAAAUCAGAUGCUUAUUGAAGAAGAAGUACAGAAAUUAAAAAGAUAUAAGAUUGAAAAUAUCAGAAGGAAGCAUAAUUAUCUGCCUUUCAUUAUGGAAUUGUUAAAGACUUUAGCAGAACACCAGCAGUUAAUACCACUAGUAGAAAAGAUAUUCUGAUAUAGGGGAAGGAAUCUUUAAUAAGUUCCCCCAAGUGAUUUAAUGCAGCUGGUCUGUGUACCACAUUUUGAGAAACACUUUGAGAAGACACUACUAGGCAAAUAAAAUUUUGGACCAUUAACUUAAAGACCAGAAUACAUGGCAAAAGAAAAACAGAAUGCAAAGAAAGCACAGGAAACCAAAUGAAGAAGAUGCUUUGGGAUGUGUACACAUUUCUGCUUCUGUACUUAUUUUCAUGGAAACCAUUAAUUAUAAAGAACUUUGAGCAACAUCCUAAUUGACUCAGUGCACGUUUGGCAGUAGUACCAGUCUGUCUCGUCUUUAAUGCAUGGAUUCAUAAACUUUUUCCCUACCUGCAUUGUGUGCAUGUAGUGCCUAUUAGGUAAAAGUGAUGUUAAGAGUGCUUGCUCAAAUUCCGUUAUUUGACAUUGGUACUCUUGUUGAUUCUCUGGAUAUGUAACUACCGUAAUGAACCUAGAAAAUGCACAAAUGAUGUUCUCUACCUGUAAUUGUUAUAAUUAAUCUUUUGAUCUUUUAGCUCAGUUAAAUGCUUAAAAUUUAUAAAUAUCAGAUCUUGAUUAAACUGUAUCUUGUUUCUUCUCAUCAUUAAUGGGAAAAAAUCAGUCUUUCUGUCUUUGAUAUCUAACUAUUUUGAGGAUUAUAAAACUGAAUUUUAUCUCCUAUACCAGUUAUUGCAAAAAGUGUAAUUUUAAUGCAGAUCAUUGAAAAGGACAAAAGUACAGUUUCUAGUGAUUUUCAUUGCUGCCAGUAGAAAAAAUAAUAAACAUCCCAAUUUUAUUUUAGCAAACUUUCUGUAAGUGUUUGGGGUUAUGUAUGUUUUGUAGAGUUGUUUCAGGAAGGUGUGAGUAAUGUGCUUCAAAGUUUCAGGUUAAGAACAAAUUGUAAAUCUUAAAGAUUUUUGGUGUCAUUCUCAGUUUGGCAACAUGUUUUCAAGCUGUUAAGCUGUAUCUUUAUAAAAAAUCAGAGGUUUCACAAUUCAGGCUAUCUGCUUUUUAAAAAAAGGAUAAUGGUUGUGGAGGAGGAUUCUUCUGUGCCAAUCUGAACAAAAUUACUGUAGCCCAGUAGUUUCCAUGAGCCAUGUACAGUUUACCCACAGUGGAGUUUUUUUUAAUUGCUUUGAGGAGUUGCUUUGUUUUUUUAUUUUAUAAAAUAAUAUUGUAUUCUUGCUCCUAAUCGUCUUUUCCAAGUUAAACUUUAAAAGAGAUUUUAUAAAACUUCUUUUUAUAAAGGAAAUAAUCUACUUUUUUUCCCCCUAGGCACAUUUCUGAAAUUAAUGCAUGACUUUUUAACAGUUUAUUAUGGAAAAGUUUAAAUGUAUGUAAGGAGACUGUGUACCCAUCUUCUAGCUUCAAACACAUGAAGUUUUUAGGGAUUAUUUUUAAGCGUACUACACUGUGGUAUUAUUAAAUAACUAAGUUGAGAAAACCUGGUGGGAAAUGGAAUAGAAAAAUUAAUGAAAUAUUUUUCAUACAUAAUUUCAGUUGAAGGUAAUAAAGAAUAAUUUGUACUUUUU